CCUACGGGUGGCAGCAGUGGGGGAUAUUGGACAAUGGGGGAAACCCUGAUCCAGCGACGCCGCGUGAGUGAAGAAGUAUUUCGGUAUGUACAGCUCUUUCAGCAGGGAAGAAAGAAAUGACGGUACCUGACCAAGAAGCCUCGGCUAACUACGUGCCAGCAGCCGCGGUAAUACGUAGGGCGCAAGCCUUAUCCGGAAUUACUGGGUGUAAAGGGAGCGUAGACGGUGAUGCAGGUCUGGAGGGAAAGGCGGGGGCCCAACCCCCGGACUGCUCUGGCAACUGGGUAACUUGAGUGCAGGAGAGGUAAGCGGAAUUCGUAGUGUAGCGGUGAAAUGCGUAGAUAGUAGGAGGAACACCAGUGGCGAAGGCGGCUUACUGGACUGCAACUGACGUUGAGGCUCGAAAGCGUGGGGAGCAAACAGGAUUAGAUACCCGUGUAGUC
rnacentral:rRNA from 1 species